GAUGAACGCUGGCGGCGUGCCUAAUACAUGCAAGUCGAGCGAAUGGAUUAAGAGCUUGCUCUUAUGAAGUUAGCGGCGGACGGGUGAGUAACACGUGGGUAACCUGCCCAUAAGACUGGGAUAACUCCGGGAAACCGGGGCUGAUACCGGAUAACAUUUUGAACCGCAUGGUUCGAAAUUGAAAGGCGGCUUCGGCUGUCACUUAUGGAUGGACCCGCGUCGCAUUAGCUAGUUGGUGAGGUAACGGCUCACCAAGGCAACGAUGCGUAGCCGACGUGAGAGGGUGAUCGGCCACACAGGGACUGAGACACGGCCCAGACUCCUACGGGAGGCAGCAGUAGGGAAUCUUCCGCAAUGGACGAAAGUCUGACGGAGCAACGCCGCGUGAGUGAUGAAGGCUUUCGGGUCGUAAGACUCUGUUGUUAGGGAAGAACAAGUGCUAGUUGAAUAAGCUGGCACCUUGACGGUACCUAACCAGAAAGCCACGGCUAACUACGUGCCAGCCGCCGCAGUAA
rnacentral:rRNA from 1 species